AUGUAGACAUGGCCGGCACGGGUCAAAUUGUAGUAUCUGUUCUUAUCAGCUUAAUAUCUGAUACGGGUUGUAUUUGGACCCAAGAUACUAAAAUUAUUUUUACAAGUUGUUGGAGUGCUUGAAGCUUGCUUCACCUCGGCCGCAAUCGGCCCGGUAUUGCACUAUCUUCGGGAUUCUUGGUCUACGGACA